UGCAGUAUUGACAUGCAUGCCGUUGUGUAGCAUUCGUUAGUCUCGUCUUUCUUAACAAUAUUAAAAACUAAUCGAUGUUUUUUUUUUUUGAUAAAUUAUUUUAAACAUGACCUACUCCGCUAUUUACGGAUUUCGAUUGAAACUGCAUUGAAAAAGUUAUUUUGGUCCUUUGUGUUAAAACCGGCUCUGGAGCCGUCGGAGCGGAGCCGGCUCUGGAGCCGUUUUGCCCAUCACUAGUGCACAGUGAAGCCGCAUAUUUGAUAUUAAGAUAAAGGCGACUAUAGCUAACAUUCCCGUGAGCAAUCGAUACACAUUCCCUAGCGAUAUACACUAUAAGCGCAAACACAUAUCAACACUGAAGGCACCAACGAAAAGCACACGGCAUAAAAGGCAUGUUAAAACAACACCUAAACUAAACAACGCACGCGAAAUGAAAGGUUGAGCUGGCGAGGUUGAGCGGAUGAGGUUGAAUGAUUGAUAGGAACCGAAUUGCUCCCGAAAUGCGAAAACCAGAGAUAUCAAUUGAUAAGGCGAUAUCGAUUUGCACGAAAAAAACGGCACUAUAAAAUUUUUUCUUGCAGCACUUUCGUUAAAAAAAAAGUGUAAUGAUAUGUAGCGACCUUAGCCGCAACAACACCAGCAGCACCGAAGCUGUCAAAAUACAGAUUUGUGAGCCUUUCUGUCUGAAACAGUGUCGAAAUCCAACAAAAUCAUACACUUUUCAGAGCUUUGUGCAAAGUCCGAUAGGUGACGCUACUGAGAAACUUGGCAGCAAGGGAAGAGGGAGAAUAUGUUUGGAAGAGAAGAAGGAAAUAAUCAAAACAUUUUUCGUAGCGUCUUUUGCAUGUUUGUGGUUCGCAGCUUCGUGGCGUCUUUCGCAGCAUUUUAGCAACUGUUGGCACGAUAUCGACCGCGUGUGAUCGGACAGGGAACAGUAAUGUUUACAAACAUUAGGCUGACUUGACAACUCGAUCAAAUAUCCAAAAUACCCGGCAGAUGGCGUACAAGAUUCACAAAGAGAGACAACACGAUUAGAUUGGGCGACAACCAGAUCUCCGUAAUUAGGGCCAAUUCGGGAGCAGGUCAAAAAGGGUCAAGUAGCACAGCUGAUCGACGAACAGGGCGCCAUCGCGAAACGCGGUUAGUAGCAAAUAUUAAGCCAGAAAGGACAGACGAAUUUUUAAACUGCGCAAUAAAUAGAAACAUACAUAGCCAGUUCUAAAAACGUCUACCAAGCUACUAAUAAUAAAUAGAUAGCUACAUCCGUAACAACAGCAACCUUGUACGCAUUUGUGUUGAUAUUUAAGUUAGUUUUCUUUAUGAAAAUGGACUCAAAUGAGAAAAAACUCUCGGUUAUAAACAAAUUGUGUGGCAAAAAUCGCCAUUUGCAGGCUCUGCGUAAGUCUGGCGUUUUAUACCGAAGAGCCGCAAAACUGUUAAAGCAGUAUAAAGAAUCGGUGGAAGAUAUUGUGAAUGUGGUAUCGCCAUCAGAACUACAAGCAGCGUCGACUUCACCGGAGCUGUUCGAUGGCGAGAAUACCGAUAAGGCAUCAUCAGUUGAUCCCGAACACAUGCUUUUUCAAGAAACUCAGGAUUUGGAACUGAACCUAAGUGAAUCGGAAGAUGAAGCAUCGAUGGACGACGAUCAGGACAUAGCAUCUGAGGACGAUGAAAACGAUCCUGACUACACCAAAAUGACAAGCGAAGAGGGCUUACGGUAUUGGGCGCUAGCUCGAUCAGAAUCGCACGCAUCUUUAAAAAGUUUGUUAAAAUAUCUUCGAGCCAACACAGAUCUCCGUGUGCCUAAAGUUCCAAGGACAUUGCUGCGGACACGACGAAAUCCUGCUAUCCUUUCGUCCAUAGGAAAUGGCAAAUUUUGGUAUAAUGGAAUACGCCACUGCUUGACAAGUGAAAUGCG